rnacentral:rRNA from 1 species
GACGAACGCUGGCGGCGUGCCUAAUACAUGCAAGUCGAGCGAGCUUGCCUAGAUGAAUUUGGUGCUUGCACCAGAUGAAACUAGAUACAAGCGAGCGGCGGACGGGUGAGUAACACGUGGGUAACCUGCCCAAGAGACUGGGAUAACACCUGGAAACAGAUGCUAAUACCGGAUAACAACACUAGACGCAUGUCUAGAGUUUAAAAGAUGGUUCUGCUAUCACUCUUGGAUGGACCUGCGGUGCAUUAGCUAGUUGGUAAGGCAACGGCUUACCAAGGCAAUGAUGCAUAGCCGAGUUGAGAGAAUGAUCGGCCACAUUGGGACUGAGACACGGCCCAAACUCCUACGGGAGGCAGCAGUAGGGACUCUUCCACAAUGGACGCAAGUCUGAUGGAGCAACGCCGCGUGAGUGAAGAAGGGUUUCGGCUCGUAAAGCUCUGUUGGUAGUGAAGAAAGAUAGAGGUAGUAACUGGUCUUUAUUUGACGGUAAUUACUUAGAAAGUCACGGCUAACUACGUG